GACGAACGUUGGCGGCGUGCUUAAUACAUGCAAGUCAACUGAAGCACCGGUAGUAAUACUGGUGUGGAGGUGGCGCACGGGUGAGUAACACGUAGGUAAUCUGCCUUCAGGUCUGACAUAACCCCGAGAAAUCGGGGCUAAUAGCAGAUGAUGCAGCGGCUUGACAUCAAGACAGUUGUUAAAGCUUCGGCGCCUGAAGAUGAGCCUGCGUCUGAUUAGCUAGUUGGCGGAGUAAUAGCCCACCAAGGCGACGAUCAGUAGCUGGUCUGAGAGGAUGAUCAGCCACACUGGAACUGAGACACGGUCCAGACUCCUACGGGAGGCAGCAGUAAGGAAUAUUGCUCAAUGGGAGAAAUCCUGAAGCAGCAACGCCGCGUGAGGGAUGAAGGGCUUUUGCUCGUAAACCUCUGUAGUGAGGGAAAAAUUUCCAUUCUAUGGAAUAUGAUGGUACC
rnacentral:rRNA from 1 species